GAGAGAAGUUUUCCAUAAUAAAUGGCAGUAGCUGGAGUACAUUGCAGAGAGAGAACAGCAAGAAGGCAGCGGCUGGGGUUACUGUAAUGGUUUAGUAGGAGGGACCUACUUUGUCUCAUUAUGUAAGGCUAUGACUUUGCCUCUUCUGAAUAGACUGAACAUAGGCACCUGCCAUUCACAACAACAGUGAGUAUAAGAACUGGAUCACCAUGCAGAACCAACUGGCGAUUCUCUUCAUGCUGAUCAUGUAUUUCUGUUAUGUGAACUGCCAAGAAGACGUUAACCAAAUCCCUCGUUCAGCUUUUGCAGUGGAAGGCAGCAGUUUUAAUAUGACAUGUGAAUGUAAAUCGAAUAUAUACACUCUUCAGUGGUACAAGCUGGUGCCAGGAGAGAAGUUCCAGUUUCUGAGAAUCCAAAGGGUGGACGAGGAGAUUACAGAGGACAGAUUUGUAUUCCAUCUGCAGAAAGAGAAGAAGCUCAGCACUCUGUCUAUCAAGCAGGUGGAAGUGUCAGACUCAGCCACCUAUUUGUGUGCUCUGGAGGCACAGUGUUAGAAAGCAGCUCCUUGAUGAACAAAAACUGAUGUGCCAGUCAAGCUUCAGAUAUUAUACCAAUAUGAUGGGAUUCCACAGGACAGGGUGCAAGUGCAACAAGAUAUACUGUGUUCAUUUCAUAAAAAGGUGUAUAGAAAAGUUCCUUGUGCUGAAGACCAAGGUUGAUAGGUCAGCAAACUAAUUGUAAAAUUGCCUACUUACCAAACAACAACCUCUACAACAUGAGCUGAGCCCAAGACGUCGUCAGAUGUUGCAGAUGUCUUCUUAGUCGAAUUUACCGAAGGGUCUUCACCAUGUGGCACUUUUCUAAACACCUUUUUAUUUUAUUUACAGUUUGUUAGCAUGUCAGUAUAAUUAAUGAAGGGUACUGCACCAUAGUAUCCAUUAUGCACUUCGCUACAGAGAUUUGUUUUGUAUUGAAGUGUCAGCACAGUGGACCAGACGGGCAGCUGCAAUCAACAAUAUUGAGAAAUUGAUGAAUUUACUUUGCAGACCUUUCAGCUUUCAGGGAUCUCUCAUAAUGUAUUGCAAUACCGUAAUAAUGUAAUUAAAAUUUCAUGAAACAAUUUAGGUUCUUAACAAGAUAUACAGGUAAUGGACCGGUUAUCCAAAAUGCUCAGGACAUGGGG